UACGAAGGGUGCUAGCGUUUUUCGGAUUUACUGGGCGUAAAGCGUAUGUAGGCUGUUUGAUUGGUCAGAUGUGAAAUCCUGGGGCUCAACCCCAGAACUGCAUUUGAUACCGUCAAGCUUGAGUAUGAUAGAGGGUAGUGGAAUUCCGAGUGUAGAGGUGGAAUUUGUAGAUAUUCGGAGGAACACCAGUGGCGAAAGCGGCUACCUGGAUCAUUACUGACGCUGAGAUACGAAAGUGUGGGGAGCAAACAGG
rnacentral:rRNA from 1 species